AAAAACCCCAAUGUCAUGUGGGGCAUUAAGGUUAGGUUUUGAAAAAUCACGAGGCGGCUAAACCUGCACGCUUCACAAACCACCGAUAACUGCUGUUAUGAUUUUGGUCAAAACUGUCUAUUUCUUUUGAUUUUAAUGCACGCCUACUGUUUUUUUUCCUUUUUUUCCAUUAUUAUCUUUUGCUCAUGAUCAUGAAGAUGAAUUGACCCAAACAAAUACUUUUUUAUCAUCCAUCCUCUUUGUUUAUUUUUUUUUAAUAUUUUAUAUUGA
rnacentral:misc_RNA from 1 species